rnacentral:rRNA from 1 species
UACGUAGGGGGGCAAGCGUUGUCCGGAUUUAUUGGGCGUAAAGAGCGUGUAGGCGGCCAAACAGGUCAGCUGUGAAAACUCGAGGCUCAACCUCGAGACGUCGGUUGAAACCGUAUGGCUAGAGUCCGGAAGAGGAGAGUGGAAUUCCCGGUGUAGCGGUGAAAUGCGCAGAUAUCGGGAAGAACACCCGUGGCGAAGGCGGCUCUCUGGGACGGUACUGACGCUGAGACGCGAAAGCGUGGGUAGCAAACAGG